GACGAACGCUGGCGGCGUGCCUAAUACAUGCAAGUUGAGCGCUGAAGGAUGGUACUUGUACCAACUGGAUGAGCAGCGAACGGGUGAGUAACGCGUGGGGAAUCUGCCUUUGAGCGGGGGACAACAUUUGGAAACGAAUGCUAAUACCGCAUAAAAACUUUAAACACAAGUUUUAAGUUUGAAAGAUGCAAUUGCAUCACUCAAAGAUGAUCCCGCGUUGUAUUAGCUAGUUGGUGAGGUAAAGGCUCACCAAGGCGAUGAUACAUAGCCGACCUGAGAGGGUGAUCGGCCACAAUGGGACUGAGACACGGCCCAAACUCCUACGGGAGGCAGCAGUAGGGAAUCUUCGGACAUGGACGAAAGUCUGACCGAGCAACGCCGCGUGAGUGAAGAAGGGUUUCGGAUCGGAAAACUCUGUUGGUAGAGAAGAACGUUGGUGAGAGUGGAAAGCUCAUCAAGUGACGGUAACUACCCAGAAAGGGACGGCUAACUACGUG
rnacentral:rRNA from 1 species